rnacentral:snoRNA from 1 species
UUGACCUUCCAAGUUUUAUUAAGAAGACGAUGAAGUUAUUUGCGUCUUUAAUCGAACAAUUCUUCUCGGCUUUGCUGAGGUUUUGAUGGAGAAGUGUUUCCUGCGCAGCCUUUAAUCUUGUUACAUUCUAUGAAUGCCAAGGACACUAGUUAGAAAAUUCUGAUUCUU